GACGAACGCUGGCGGCGCGCUGAACACAUGCACGUCGAACGGCCAGGCCCUGCCAUUGUGGGUUGCUCGAGGGGCGAACGGGUGCGUAACACGAGAGUCACCUGCCCUUGCCUUUGUACUACCUCCACGACACUCGGGCGAAUACCGUACAUCAGGCCCCCAUCCGCGGGGGGAGUGGGAAAUAUUCCGCGGUUGGGGGUGAUCCCGCGGCUUAUCAGCGUGUUGGUGUGGUAGUGGCUUACCAAGGCUGCGGCGGGUAGCCGGCCUGCGAGGGUGACCGGCCACCUUGCGACUGAGGUACGGCCCAGCCUCCUACGGGGGGCAGCGGUGGCGAAUAUUGCACAAUGGGCGGAAGCCUGAUGCAGCGCCGCCGCGCGCGCGAUGACGGCCUUCGGGUUGUCAACCGCUUUCGCCUGUGACGAAGCGUGAGUGACGGUAAUGGGUCAAGAAGCACCGGCUACCCUCGUG
rnacentral:rRNA from 1 species